CCAAUAGCGUAUAUUAAAGUUGUUGCAGUUAAAAAGCUCGUAGUUGAAUUUCGGGACCAAUCUGCCGGUCGUGCCUCUGGUACGCACUGGUUUUAUUGGUUUCUCCCUUCUGACGAACCAUAAUGUCAUUAAUUUGGUGUCAUGGGGAAUCAGGACUGUUACUUUGAAAAAAUUAGAGUGUUUAAAGCAGGCUCACGCUUGAAUACAUUAGCAUGGAAUAAUGAAAUAGGACGUUUGACCCUAUUUUGUUGGUUUCUAGGAUCGACGUAAUGAUUAAUAGGGAUAGUUGUGGGCAUUAGUAUUCAAUUGUCAGAGGUGAAAUUCUUGGAUUUAUUGAAGGCUAACUACUGCGAAAGCAUUUGCCAAGGAUAUUUUCAUUAAUCAAGAACGAAAGUUAGGGGAUCGAAGACGAUCAGAUACCGUCGUAGUCUUAACCAUAAACUAUGCCGACUAGGGAUCGGAUGAUGUUAAUUUUUUAAUGACUCAUUCGGCGCCUUACG
rnacentral:misc_RNA from 1 species